AGAAUCAACGCUGGCGGCGUGCCUAGCACAUGCAAGUCGAACGAGAAAGUGGAGCAAUCCACCAGUAAAGUGGCGCACGGGUGAGUAACACGUGACUAACCUACCCUUGAGUGGGGGAUAACCUAGGGAAACCUGGGCUAAUACCGCAUAAUACCUACGGGUCAAAGGAGCAAUUCGCUUAAGCGAGGGGGUCGCGGCCGAUUAGUUAGUUGGCGGGGUAAUGGCCCACCAAGACGAUGAUCGGUA
rnacentral:rRNA from 1 species